CCUGGGGAGGGGGAUACGGAGGAGAAGGGAAGGGGGCAGAGAGAACGGGAUGCCGGGGUGAGGCUCCGCUGCUCCUCCCAAUUAAUGCGCUCGCAGCGCUGUGCCGCCGCGUCUGGCUGUCUGGCUGCCCCCCCCCCUCCUCUUCUGCCUCCUCCUCCUCCUCCUCCUCCUCCUCCUCCUCCUCCUCCUCGCUGGCCGCCUCCGCCCGCCGCAGUCAGCGCUGGUAAACAACAGCCCCGGCGCCGCUCCGCCGCCGCCGCCGCUUCUCCCCUCUGCGGCCGCGCGGGGACGGGGAGCGCGCUCCCGCCCUUCCCCGGGCGCGCGCCCGCGCCACUCGCCCAGGCGGCGGCGGCGGCGGCGCGCGGGGCGGGGCGGGCGGGUGCGCCCCGAAGCUGGUGCUCGGCGCGGUUCGGGUCCGCUCGGGUCGGUUCGGAUCCGUUCGGCUCCGCUCGGAGGCGGCCAUGUGGCAUCGCCUCCAUGAGCAGCGCCCGGGUGCUUCAAGGCCUGGGUGCCCGGCAGCCUCACCCUGACUGAGGCGCUGUCACCGACCCUGGGGGCUUUUUUUGUCAUCUCUGGGGCAUUUUCGCCACUCCUGGGGGGCAUUUUUGCCAUCCCCGGGGUAUUUUCACCAUCAGGGCAUCUUCAGCAGCACCGUGGGACUGGAUGCUGAGUGCCCUUUCUGUGCUUGUUAGGGCAUCAGCAUGGUGUAAAUUGUGUUAUUUGUAAGGAAAUGUGUAAAGACAGAGCUGAAGUGGGAAUCGGGUGUCUGUCAUCCAUCAUCCUGCUGUCAUAAAGAACCUUUAUGGCUGUGAAAUAGCCAUUUUUUCAUUAUUUUGGUGAACAGGGCAAGUCGUGGACAUGCACGUUGUACUAGCAGAGUACAAGCACAGAACAAAAGAUGUGCUGUUCCCCAAAGAGCUUACGGUCUCACAAACACAGCCCUACAGGUGUGACACAGUUUGGUUCUGGAAUUUGACAGGUUAUUUUAAAACAUAAAGGCAACAGCAACAGCCCAGUGUUGGUUGGAGGCACCGCGGUGCUCUCCAGCCUCCCAGGCUGCCCAUCCAAAAUUCAUAAUUCAUAACUCACCUGUGCCCGAUGUGCUUUGGGGUGCACAGGAGGAAACCCUUUAUCUGUGAUGCCCACAGCACCACGCUCAUGGUACCAGCCCUGCACGCACACUCGGCUCUGGCACACGCUUUGAAUCAGGUUCUGCUCCCCUAUGCCAUCCUCCUCCUCCACAAGUGGUCCUGCUGUUUUCAACAGAAAUAAAAUCGGGAUUUUUCAGCACAUCCAGCUGCAGCAUGGGCAUGUCUUUGAGAUGAAAACCUCAAGCAAACUGCACUACACAUGCAAAGUGCAAAAUUAAAGAGCUAUAACUUGGGCAAAAUAAAGAUAAUUUCUAUGGUAAUGUGCAAAGGUACUUGAUGAUGAAAUCAAUUUCCUUGUAAUCACUGUGUGCCCCCGCUUUUAUCUAUAGACCUGCUCAAAUGAGGUUGAUAGGAAUGGUGCGAAGUUUUUAUUUACUGGGAAUCCAGAACUGAGCAACACAGAGGUCAUAAAUGCCGUUUGAACAACUUGAGUCUUUCUUUGGACCAAGAGGUGAUUAAAAAUGUUUUGUUGGAACUUCAUCACAAGAAAGUAAAUCUGCCAGGGUAUAAACAUACCUGGCUCAAAAAGAAGAUGUUCGGCAAUUCACUGGGGUCCUGAUCCUUGGUAGUGUCUCCUCCGUGAGGCCACUAAUGAUAAAUAAAUAAAUACGGUGCAUGUUGUUCAACAUACAUUGUGCGUCUACAUUCAUGCAAAGUCUUCUCUUCCUUUUGUUUCACACAUGAAGUCUAAACUCUUAAUUUUCAACAGCAGAAGAAACGAUUUUCUCCUGACGCGCCCUUCCCUGACGGUAGGAAACGACUUUCCCCUGUGUCCCAUCGCCUCCGCACUCGUUCCUCCUCUCCGUUUGCGCCGGGCUUCGUGCCUCCCCUUUUUCCACUGCUGGUUUAUGGUGCUUGAGACAGACAGAUGGACAGAGCGGAGCACACGCACACACGUUUUACCCUCUGGAGAGCGAUGCAGAAUGCCACCAGCAUACCUGCGUGCUGUUUAAAACGCCGCUUAAGUGGAAACUUCAGGAAGUGUGGCAGUGGGGAUGAAACAGCGCGGUUAAAACAGCCGCUGACCCCGGUCUCUCAAAACAUAUAUCUGCCCAAGGCAAAUAUCCUAAUACUCAGCCAUAUUUUAAUUUUAACAGCAGCCUCACCGCUGCUUUCUGGGGCCACCACUGGGGAGAAAGAGGCCUCACUAUUUUCCCUGCCUCAGUGCUCGUACUCCUCAUAGGCCUGGCUAGACUUUAUUUUGGCUUCUGCACCACUUUCGGGGCAGGCUGACCUCUUUACCAGACGCUAGCUUGUCGUAACCUGUAAGCAUCCAACGUCCUGUUUUACAGGCACAAGGGAGCCAUCGAUGUUUCUCCUCCCACCCUCUCCAUCUGCAUUGUCUCCGCAGGACAAAUUUUGGCAGCCACCGAGUACUGCCCUGCACCCAUGUCUGUACAUGCACCACGUCCUCUUUUCCAGGGGCUCCCCAUUUUGCCAACUGACCAUCUUUGGGCUCCAUUUUAGGCUGAAUGAUGCUGUCAUGGGCAGGCGUGUUGCGUGCAGCUCCCGUUUUUUCCUUAAUUUCCACUUUGGAGUUGCAUCGAGCACCAGUGACCUCUACAAGUUUCCGUCUGUAGGAAAAUGCCCAGCUGAGCAUGAGGAUGGGGCAUGGCGCACACAGAGAUGGAGUGCUGCAGUGCCCAGGGUAGUCUGUAGAGGCCCCUUCAUCACCAGACGUCUUUUCUUUUCCACAUCUGCAACACGGGGCAGGAUUUGGGAAGAUGCCACCAUCCCAUGGCAGCAGCAAGGGGGCUGUGCAGUCCCUGCAGCUGCAGGAAGCAACAGUCUUCAACACAUGGGGGAAAAACCUGGGUAUCUGUGAAGUGUGCAAGACUUAAAUACCAGGGCACUGAUCUGAGAGACCCACAUGAAGCACACUUCUCUGACUCUGUGUGAUUUUUAAUUCUCCUGGCCCUGAUACAGCUGUAAACAGCAGCUCAAAAUUGGUCCCUCCCGGAACAAAUGAAAAGCAGAAGGGAAGGAAGGGCACUGUUAUCACUGAUUUCCCACACACCUCCCUCCUUCAGACAAAGAAGUAUGCAGUUACAUGGACGAUUUAGGGGCAGCAGCCGAGCAGGAAUAACUCUAAAAUUCAUGUUUUAAUAACAACAACAGCAAUAAGCACACAACAGCAUUUAUAACCCUAGUUACAGGCCUGGGAUAUCAUAUCCAUAGCAACUGCAGCAAGUGCUGGAUGCCGUAUAUUUAGAGUUCCCGUGCACCUGCCUAAAAUAGCCGCCGAUAAAUUAUGCUGAUGUUUGUGCCUUUCUGACAGCGUUCAAAAGGCGGCCACAAAACCACGCCAAGCCUUCGCAAUGGGAAUCUCGCUUUCGUACCAAAACGUCCGCAGACUCAUGUUCGCCUUCCCUUUUGCAUCUCCGAAUGUGACGAACGAGCCCAAGGAGCCACCACGGCAGCGAGUGCGGCAGCGAGCGGCAAGAAUGCCGCCAACUGAAUCGGGAGUGGGAUCAGAGCUCCCCCCGAUGCAAUGGGCAGAAAGGAUCACCCCGUCCCAUCCCAUGCUCGCUGCUCUGAGCACAGUUGGCUUCCACAUCACACACUGGAUGCACAGGACCCCAACAGAGAAUCCUCCUGAGGUUGUUUUUAACCUCAGGUAUACAAUAAUUUAUUUAAAAUAGGCUUCAAAAUAAACUUCUUGAUUCUCUGUCUGUUUACAGUUGAUGGAGAUGGAUAUAGGAAAAAUAAGGUUAUUUGUUCUAGUUUAACACAACACGUUAUGGAACCCAAAAUAAAGUCAAUGGUGGCUUAAA